GCUCCGGGACGCCGCCCAGCGACACGGCCGCGGGGUCAGCGUGUCUGUACCGGUGCUGCAACGGGAGGGUCGGGCGGCGACGCUCUCACUGCCGGGCCAGAAGGAGGCCGCCCGGCUUCCUCACGCUAGAAGGGAGCUGGUUACCAGAGGUUUUCAGAGACGCCAAAGUUUUGCCAGAUUCACCUCUUGAUAUUUUAUUUGCCUAGUUGUACUAUAUACUCAUGAGUUGCUUAAAGACUGGGAUGCUUUCUAAGAAACGUGUCAUUUUGCUAUUUCAUCAUUGUGUGAACGUGAACACAAACCCAGAUGGUAUAGCCUACUACACACCUAGGCUAUAUGGUAUAGCCUAUUGCUCCUAGGCCACAAACUUGUACCUGUACUGAAUACUAGAGGCAAUUGUAAUACAAUGAUGACCAAGGUGAGGCACAGAGAGGUUAUAUAACUUGUCCAAGCUCACACAGCUAAAAUCUGGUGGAACCAUAACUACCUACAUGAUCUGAUCCCAGAAUCCAUGCCCUCAAUCAUUCUGACUGGCUUGGAAGAUAAUUCCUGUGUUGUUAAGGUAUGACCAAACAUUCAUCUGGUCACUGCUGCCCCGAGUCUCUGAGACUGGUGUAGGCAGUGGGGAUUCGUCUCUCUUAUCUACUUUGGAAACUUCGGUUCUUCAUUCAUUAAUUCAUUUAAU